rnacentral:rRNA from 1 species
AUUGAACGCUGGCGGCAGGCCUAACACAUGCAAGUCGAGCGGGGUUUUCGGACCUAGCGGCGGACGGGUGAGUAAUGCGUAGGAAGCUACCCGAUAGAGGGGGAUACCAGUUGGAAACGACUGUUAAUACCGCAUAAUGUCUACGGACCAAAGUGUGGGACCUUCGGGCCACAUGCUAUCGGAUGCGCCUACGUGGGAUUAGCUAGUUGGUGAGGUAAUGGCUCACCAAGGCGACGAUCCCUAGCUGGGUUGAGAGGAUGAUCAGCCACACUGGAACUGGGACACAGUUCAGAAUCCUACGGGAGGCAGCAGUGGGGAAUAUUGGACAAUGGGCGCAAGCCUGAUCCAGCCAUGCCGCGUGUGUGAAGAAAGCCUUCGGGUUGUAAAGCACUUUCAGUAGGGAGGAAGCGUUGUGUGUUAAUAGUACACAGCGUUGACGUUACCUACAGAAGAAGCACCGGCUAACUCUGUGCCAGCCGCCGCGGUAACAC